AUGGCCUUAACUAUAUUGAGAAAGUUUUUUCAUUCCCAUCUUGCUUUGACUUUGAUCAAGAAUGGGUAUUGGCGAGGAGGAGUCAGAGUGUCCUCUCCCUUAGCAUGAAGCCAGCUCUAGGUGUUACUUCUGCGGCUGCCUUUUGCCAUUGAUGAUCAUUCUUCCCUUCCUUUAGAAGGGAUAGAGGGAGAGGAUGCAGUCUGAGU